UUUCGCAAUGCCCGAAAGGGUGACGAAGCGACGCCGCGUGCGGGAAGAAGGCCUUCGGGUUGUAAACCGCUGUCGGGAGUUAGGAAGUGCAAGGAUGUUAAUAGCGUUCUUGCUUGACUAAGGCUCCGGAGGAAGCCACGGCUAACUCUGUGCCAGCAGCCGCGGUAAUACAGAGGCGGCAAGCGUUGUUCGGAAUUAUUGGGCGUAAAGAGCACGUAGGCGGCCUUGCAAGUCAGUUGUGAAAGCCUUCCGCUUAACGGAAGAACGGCAUCUGAUACUACAGGGCUUGAGUACGGGAGGGGAGAGUGGAACUUCUGGUGGAGCGGUGAAAUGCGUAGAUAUCAGAAGGAACGCCGGCGGCGAAAGCGACUCUCUGGUCCGAAACUGACGCUGAGUGUGCGAAAGCUAGGGGAGCAAACGGGAUUAGAUACCCCGGUAGUCCUAGCCGUAAACGAUGGGCACUAAGUAGAGGGGUUUU
rnacentral:rRNA from 2 species